AUUCCUAGGCCUAACACUCUAGGGCUCUUAUUAGUAUAGUAGAAUAUAGUAGAUAUAUGAUACAUGAGCAAAUGGCUCACACGAUAUUAACUUAAAUUUUUUAGGGUAAAGAUUCACUGAUGUAGCUUGCUGCAUGGGUCUUUGAGUGUCACCAUGGCUUUGCACGAUUGUCUUGGCCUGGCACACCCCAC
rnacentral:snRNA from 1 species